GCGGACAGCACACGGAGUGCUAUCGACAUCUUUUGCGGCCCCAUUGAAGUGAAUGAGUCCUCACCUGAGCCGCAAAAAAUGCGACUCGGAUGCAGAACCAAACCACGAUCGUGUGAAUGAGCCUAAUGCAUCUUAGAUAGGAUUGU